AAAUAUGUUACUUCCGGUACUGUCUUAUAGUUUACUUGACGCUGAUUCCAAAAAUAUAUGGUUUUACAUACUUUUACAAUAAUUUAUUACAAAAAUUAGCUACUUCCGGUUUACAAAAGGUCACUUCCGGUUAGCUUUUUCAACGUCAUACUGCUUGCAACCUAAUGCAAAAAGUCUAAUAGCUUUAACAUGAAUACAUAUGAGGUAAAAGCAAAGGUCAAAAUCUAGAACGUUAAAUUAACAUAUGACCUUGAGCUCAAUUUCAAGGUCAUGAACCAAGGACCUCAAAUCAAAAGACUCUAGGUCUUUACUUUAUAUUGUUAAUGAGUUAUAUUACCAUACGUAUGAUAUCAGAUAUAAAAAGGGGGAAAACUCGCGUCAAAUGUCUACGUACCCUUUCGACUAAAAUUUAUGUGUUACGACAUGUCGUAACUAACAAUUGUGUGAAAAUAUUUUGUCGAUAUCUUAUAUGAUUUCUGAAAAUAAGAGAUAACAAGCCAAAAUCAAAAUUUUAAUCAUGACCUUGACCUUUGACCUUGACCUCAUUUUCAUUUUUUUGGACCAAGGACCUCAAAUCAAAAGACCCUAGGCCUCUACCACUUAUGGUUUUCCAGUUAAAAAUGCAUAUCACUUAUAUCAAAUAUAAAAGGGGAAAUAACUCUCAUAUGGAGUCUCCGGAUAGCUUCGGUCGAAAUAAAUCAAAUCAUCCUGAGGAUGUAACGAGCAAUUUGGUAAAAUAAAUUUGUCGGUUUCUUAUACGGUUGCGAAUAUUAAGUGAUCACAAGAAAAACAGUGUUCGGGGAGAUAACUCUUAUAUGGGAAAGAUUUUGGUUACGCGGUGUCAGUUACAAAAGCGUAAUAACUGUUCGAUAUCAUAUACCAUAUGUCUAAGCGACAUCUUGCGAAACAAAAAAAUUGCGAAGGAACAAAAAGUUGGCGGAAGAAAAAAAAUAAUAAUAAUAAUAAUCAGAAGAAAACCAAUAGGUCUUUCCACGGAAAAGUGGAAAGACCUAAUAAUCAGAAGAAAACCAAUAGGUCUUUCCACGGAAAAGUGGAAAGACCUAAUAA
rnacentral:lncRNA from 1 species